AGAGUUUGAUCCUGGCUCAGAUUGAACGCUGGCGGCAUGCCUUACACAUGCAAGUCGAACGGCAGCACGGGUGCUUGCACCUGGUGGCGAGUGGCGAACGGGUGAGUAAUAUAUCGGAACGUACCUUAUCGUGGGGGAUAACGCAGCGAAAGCUGCGCUAAUACCGCAUACGCCCUGAGGGGGAAAGCGGGGGACCGUAAGGCCUCGCGCGAUUAGAGCGGCCGAUAUCUGAUUAGCUUGUUGGUGGGGUAAAAGCCCACCAAGGCGACGAUCAGUAGCUGGUCUGAGAGGACGAUCAGCCACACUGGGACUGAGACACGGCCCAGACUCCUACGGGAGGCAGCAGUGGGGAAUUUUGGACAAUGGGGGCAACCCUGAUCCAGCAAUGCCGCGUGAGUGAAGAAGGCCUUCGGGUUGUAAAGCUCUUUUGUCAGGGAAGAAACAGCAGCUCUAACACAGUCUGCGAAUGACGGUACCUGAAGAAUAAGCACCGGCUAACUACGUGCCAGCAGCCGCGGUAAUACGUAGGGUGCAAGCGUUAAUCGGAAUUACUGGGCGUAAAGCGUGCGCAGGCGGUUAUACAAGACAGGCGUGAAAU
rnacentral:rRNA from 1 species